rnacentral:rRNA from 1 species
GACAGAGGCCUCAAGCGUUAGGCGGAAUCCCUGGGCUUAAAGCGUGUGUAGGCGGAUCGUUAAGUGUCUUGUGAAAUCCCACGGCUCACCCGUGGAACUGCUGGGCAUACUGGCGAUCUUGGGCCAACUAGGGGCAACUGGAACAAGCGGUGGAGCGGUGAAAUGCGUAGAUAUCGCUUGGAACGCCAAAGGUGAAAACAGGUGCUGGGGUUGUGCCGACGCUGGAGACACGAAAGCCAGGGGAGCAAACGGG